ACCAUCCUCCAAGGCUAAAUACUCCUGACUGACCGAUAGUGAACCAGUACCGUGAGGGAAAGGCGAAAAGAACCCCGGCGAGGGGAGUGAAAAAGAACCUGAAACCGUGUACGUACAAGCAGUGGGAGCCCCACCACUAAGCCAGUGGUGAACUCCACAUCCGCAUCCUUUGCUGAGGAUACGGUUAACGGAGCGAAAGCGACGUUCAACCGCAAAACAAGCAGAGGGGGCUUAGUGGUGGGGUGACUGCGUACCUUUUGUAUAAUGGGUCAGCGACUUAUAUUCUGUAGCAAGGUUAACCGUAUAGGGGAGCCGGAGGGAAACCGAGUCUUAAUUGGGCGUUAAGUUGCAGGGUAUAGACCCGAAACCCGGUGAUCUAGCCAUGGGCAGGUUGAAGGUUGGGUAACACUAACUGGAGGACCGAACCGACUAAUGUUGAAAAAUUAGCGGAUGACCUGUGGCUGGGGGUGAAAGGCCAAUCAAACCGGGAGAUAGCUGGUUCUCCCCGAAAGCUAUUUAGGUAGCGCCUCGUGAAUUCAUCUCCGGGGGUAGAGCACUGUUUCGGCUAGGGGGCCAUCCCGGCUUACCAACCCGAUGCAAACUGCGAAUACCGGAGAAUGUUAUCACGGGAGACACACGGCGGGUGCUAACGUCCGUCGUGAAGAGGGAAACAACCCAGACCGCCAGCUAAGGUCCCAAAGUCAUGGUUAAGUGGGAAACGAUGUGGGAAGGCCCAGACAGCCAGGAUGUUGGCUUAGAAGCAGCCAUCAUUUAAAGAAAGCGUAAUAGCUCACUGGUCGAGUCGGCCUGCGCGGAAGAUGUAACGGGGCUAAACCAUGCACCGAAGCUGCGGCAGCGAACGUAUCACCCAAGACAACUUUACGGAGUUGACGAUUGACGGAGCGAAGCGACGUCAAAGCGUUCAUUAAAGUCGAGUUGGCUUAGGGAUACGUUCGUUGGGUAGGGGAGCGUUCUGUAAGCCUGUGAAGGUGUGUCGUGAGGCAUGCUGGAGGUAUCAGAAGUGCGAAUGCUGACAUAAGUAACGAUAAAGCGGGUGAAAAGCCCGCUCGCCGGAAGACCAAGGGUUCCUGUCCAACGUUAAUCGGGGCAGGGUGAGUCGACCCCUAAGGCGAGGCCGAAAGGCGUAGUCGAUGGGAAACGGGUUAAUAUUCCCGUACUUGGUGUUACUGCGAAGGGGGGACGGAGAAGGCUAUGUUGGCCGGGCGACGGUUGUCCCGGUUUAAGCGUGUAGGUGUGUGUUCCAGGUAAAUCCGGUUCACUUUAACACUGAGGCGUGACGACGAGGCACUACGGUGCUGAAGCAACAAAUGCCCUGCUUCCAGGAAAAGCCUCUAAGCAUCAGGUAACACGAAAUCGUACCCCAAACCGACACAGGUGGUCAGGUAGAGAAUACCAAGGCGCUUGAGAGAACUCGGGUGAAGGAACUAGGCAAAAUGGUGCCGUAACUUCGGGAGAAGGCACGCUGACACGUAGGUGAAGUGAUUUACUCAUGGAGCUGAAGUCAGUCGAAGAUACCAGCUGGCUGCAACUGUUUAUUAAAAACACAGCACUGUGCAAACACGAAAGUGGACGUAUACGGUGUGACGCCUGCCCGGUGCCGGAA
rnacentral:rRNA from 1 species